CCGACCGUCCGCAUUCGACAAAUAACUGAGCAGCUGCUGGGGUCGGGAACACCGCGGGAACAGGUCAGAGCUGACUCUCAGCGACUCUACUGCCUCUCCCCGCCACGCCCCCUGCCCCCCUGCGGGGUAGGACCCCGCAACCACCACUCCAGAGUCCUCUGCAGGGACUGCUGUUGCUAUGGGAGAGAAAGCCAGAGGAAGGGGACGCUUGGGCUGUGGUGGCAGCAGCAGCAGCAGUGACGGCCACCGCCGCCAACCAGGGGCUUCUGCCUGGCCAGCGCAGCCACCUGGGCUCCCGGCAGCAGCAUUUUCCACGUGGCUCCUCCAAUCCUCACGAGGGAGCAGCUUCCUGCAUUGCUAGUGGUGAGCCCACCUGACUUCCUACUCUCAGCACUUCCUGAUUGCCAUGUCCGUGUCACCAAUUUCCCCUAUUAACCUUCCUGACAAGUCGGCGUGCUAUUGAGAAACCAAUGAGUGAACCAGGGGCAAUCAGAGCUCUGAAAAAUAAAGUGAGCAAGUGCAGAAAAGCUUCCUUUGUCGGUGGCGAGACUUCUUAGGACCCCUAAUUCAUGUCCACGACUCCUGGGAGUCCACAUCUGCUCCUGCCAGACCCUGAGACUCCCCAGCAGCCUCCGACACCACUGCUUAGUGUCCACACCUGCCCCCAGCAUCUCCCCCACCUCCGUGUGCCUGGCACGUCCCCAGCAUGAUGACCCUGAUCCAAACUGUAACUAGAGUGGUGUCCCCUACUUUAGCAGACUCCCGUGCUCAAGCGAUCCACAUGUCUCGGCCUCCCCAAGUGCUGGGAUCGCAGGCGUGAGCCCCGUGCCCGGCCAGCCCUGGAUGUCCAUCACCUGCUUCUAUGGGCGUCUCUCCGUCACACUCCCUUUUGGAAGUUACUGUUUCUUUUUGGUUCAAUUCAUUGCCUCUAACUUCAGAGCCCUACUCAUGUGUAUUUAUCCCCCUUGAUUCCCCAAAACUUAUCGGCUUACCCAGACCUUCCCCCAUUAAAUGCUUUCCCUCCCUCCCAUGGCCCUUCCGUUUCCCCGAGCCCAGCUCUGUGGCGUUGAUCUGCUCUAAGUUUUGGUACUCGUGGUGGGUGUGCCUGAGUGUCUUUGUUCUGACUUUACUGAGACAUUGACCGCCGUAAAGAUCUCUUGCAGCAUCUUCUGAGUUUCUCUUCUCGUUUAAAAACUUCCUCCAAUAGCCACUUGGAAAAAGAUAAAAUUAGACCCAUUCCUCACAUCACAUACAAGAAGGAACUCCAAAUAGACUGGAGAUCUUGACAUAAAGACGAAAACCAUACAAAAUCCAGAAGAAACCUGAGGGAACUUCCCUGAAACCCGGGUGUAGGGAGAAGUACUGACUCCCACGCCAGCACAAUUAAAGAAAUACUGAUACAUUUGGCUUCAUAAAAAUAAACUUGUACCGUGGCAACAAACCACAAGUGAAGUCUAAAGAUAAAAGACAGUCUGGGAUACAUACUUUCAAAUGGUUAAGGUGGCACAGUUUAUGUUAUGUGCUUUUUACCAUAAUUUAACAAAAAAGGACAGAAUGGGGGAAAAUGAUCUGCAACAUACAUCACAAGCAUGGGGCCUCUGCUGUGUCCCCUCCGCGGCACUCCCACUGGAGAGCCCAGCCAGACCCGACAGGGAGGAGACGGCAGCCAGUCAGGGAGCACUCUUCAGACACAGGGAGGGAGAGGAGCGUGAUCAUCGCAAAUGUCCAUGUCAAAGACAAAGAGGGGCUGAGGCAGUGUUCCAGAUUGCAGGAAAUGAAAGAGACAAUUGAAUGUGUGGCAGGACACUGCUGAGGCACGUGCUACAGCUGGAAUGCAGUUGGUUGAUUUAAAUGUAAACAUUUAAUGCUCCCUCGAGGGACCCCGCUGCCACGUUGAGAGAAGCUCAGGCCGCGUGGAAGCCACACGCAGGCGUUCCGGUGCCGGCCCAGCUAACAGCCCACAGCAACUGCAGUCACAGGAGUGAGCCCCCACGGAGUCCAGCCAGGCGAGUCUUCAGAUGCCUCCAGCCCCAAAUGCCCCCUGACCACAAAUGCCUCAGCCCUUAGGUGCGCCGCAGAGCCAAGCCCAGCCGAUCACAGAACUGAGGAGACAGCAAGGCAUUCCGUGUCUAAGCUGGUGAGGGUCACGGUGUUUGUUAUGCAGCUGUGCAGCACGGCUGUGGCCUUGACUAAGGAAAAGGCUGGCUCCUGGGAGGUCACCUGGGAGCCCUUGGCGUGUCCUCCCUGAUAGGAACGUCUCUAUCUGGGGCCCUGGGCCACAGUGGACAGUCUAUGCUAAGGAUGUGAUUUAGGGUGGGGACUGUGGGUCUCUCUGGAGGCUACGGUCAGCCACGCGGGGUGAGCAGUCCCCAUGACCAAUCCCUGAAGAAAACCUUGGAUGCAGAGGCCCGGGUGAGCUUCCCUAGGUGGCCACACUCCAGUACGCUGUCGCAUCCAUGCAGGGAAAAUAAGCGCUGUCUGCACAGCUCCAUGGGAGGGCAGUGGGACGCUCGUGCCCGCCUCUUCCCUCCGCUCAUUCUCAUCCUCAUGUUCUCACUAUAAUAGGCCCUAACUGUGAGGAUAAUGGCCAUACUGGCUCCUGAGAGACCUCCUGAACUGCAGCGGCAGGGAACCCCGACACCCCGUGAGUCUGAGAGCCUCAUAGCUGCCCGCCUGGCUGACUCCCAUCAGGUCUGAAGCACCCUCCCGACAACCAUGGUGGCUGUUUUUGUCUUUCCCGGGGGAAAUGAAUGGCACUGGCAACCUGGGCCUCGUGCCUGUUUUCCUGAAGCCAUGUGUACUUGGCUUCUGGACCCCAGCGCACCUGCCCCCAGAAGGCAGUGCACUUACUGUAAGGCUGAUGAGACCCUGGCGCACCUGCCCCCAGAAGGCAGUGCACUUACUGUAAGGCUGAUGGGCCUCAGAGAGCACCUCCCCAGCGCCUACGCGCAAUCAGGACCGCGGACGCCUCGUGUCUGCCUGGGAGGCCUCCAAAGGGCCAAACACUCCCGGACUCGGCCCUGCAGGAGUCAUUUGCUGUAGACCAUCCCCCAGCGCCACAUACCACCGGAGAAAGCUGAGUCCAGAGGAGCUCAAACUUGAAAACGCAAUCUCUCUGGAGGGCCAAGGCCUGGCAGGGCAGCCUGAAUGGAAUCCAAUGUUACCCGUGACUAAGAGCCAGCUGGGAGUGAGACAAGGGUCCUCUGGUCUCCCUGGAUGACUGGAGAUGCCUGCCUCAUCGUGUGAUGUUAAGAACCACUGCUGGGCCUACCCUGAGCAGGGAGCAGGGAGCAGGGAGCAGGGAGCGGCACUGUCAUGCUUGUUGCUGGAGCCGGCAAAGGAUGAGGAGCUGCUUCCGCUUCCGCUCCGCUCCACUCAGUGCUGGCCUCAUCGCCCCACCCAGGGGGCAGAACUCUCCCCGGGAGCCCACGGUGCUGGGCAGAGGCAGGGGCCACUUGGGCGGUCAGCCCAGAGCUGGGUGGGCCUGGCCACCCUCCGGAUCCCCUGAGCAGGAAGUAACCCAACCCGGGCAGCUCCUGCGGCUCCACCAUCCAGAGACAAGCUGACUUCCGAUAAUGACUUUAUUUUAACAUUUAAUUACAGACAUAAAAUAGCUGGGGGGGGGGGUGAGCCCCAGCCCAGCCCCACCAUGGGGCUACAGGAGGGGAGGUGCAGGCGAGGCCCCCCUGCUGACCCUCUCUCUGGAGGUCUUCCUAUGGCGGGGCCCUAUUGCUUGAGUGCGGGAGGAGCCAUGCAAACGAGGGGGGCAGGGCAGCCACUCGGCCCCACCCCGACCCGAGGACGGCCUCCCCACAGAAUGCCCGGGCUGUGCCCCCAGCCCCAGCUGCUCCACCUCCUUCCACUCUGUCCAGGGAGCAGACCCUCUGGCCAGCCCCUGACUCUGCCCCUACCCCCUCUGCAAACCUAAAGGGGAAUAAAUACAAACUUUACAAAGUAAAA